CGAGUAAGACAUGCAAUCGCUGCUAGACUAGAUCUAGGAGAGGAAAGUCGGAGCUCCAUAGGGCAGGGUGCUGGAUAACGUCCAGUCAAGGCGACUUGAAGGAAAGUGCAACAGAGAGAUACCGCCUAAAUUUUUAGGUAAGGGUGGAAAGGCGAGGUAAGAGCUCACCAGCAUCAUGGUGACAUGAUGGCUAUGUAAACCCCACCUGGAGCAAGGUCGAAUAGGGAAACAUUUAGGAGUUGCCCGCUCCGUUUCCGGGUGUACCGCUUGAGCUUAUUGGCAACAAUAAGCCUAGAUAGAUGAUUGCUUAAUACAGAACUCCGCUUACGGCUUAUCUCGCAAU
rfam:Clostridium sp. 7_2_43FAA genomic scaffold supercont2.3, whole genome shotgun sequence.